GCGGGUGUGGCGAAAUGGCAGACGCAAUAGACUUAGGAUCUAUCGCCGCGAGGCAUGGGGGUUCGAGUCCCUCCACCCGCA
rnacentral:tRNA from 1 species